rnacentral:rRNA from 1 species
UGGGGAAUCUUCCGCAAUGGACGAAAGUCUGACGGAGCAACGCCGCGUGUAUGAUGAAGGUCUUCGGAUUGUAAAGUACUGUCAUUGGGGAAGAACGGUUUUCUUGAAAAGAUUGAGAAGACAUGACGGUACCCAAGGAGGAAGCCCCGGCUAACUACGUGCCAGCAGCCGCGGUAAUACGUAGGGGGCAAGCGUUGUCCGGAAUUAUUGGGCGUAAAGGGCGCGUAGGCGGGCCUUUAAGUCCGGUGUGAAAGAUCAGGGCUCAACCCUGAGAGUGCAUCGGAAACUGGAGGCCUUGAGGACAGGAGAGGAAAGUGGAAUUCCACGUGUAGCGGUGAAAUGCGUAGAUAUGUGGAGGAACACCAGUGGCGAAGGCGACUUUCCGGACCGUAACUGACGCUGAGGCAUGAAAGCGUGGGUAGCAAACAGGAUUAGAUACCCUGGUAGUCCACGCCGUAAGCGAUGAGUACUAGGUGUAGGAGGUAUCGACCCCUUCUGUGCCGCAGUAACACAAUAAGUACUCCGCCUGGGAAGUACGAUCGG